rnacentral:rRNA from 1 species
GCAACAGCUCAAAUUUGAAAUCUGGCCCCCCGGCCCGAGUUGUAAUUUGGAGAGGAUGCUUCUGGCGCGGCGCCGUCCGAGUUCCUUGGAACAGGACGCCACAGAGGGUGAGAGCCCCGUACGGACGGACGCCUAGCCUCUACGAAGCUCCUUCGACGAGUCGAGUAGUUUGGGAAUGCUGCUCAAAAUGGGAGGUAAAUUUCUUCUAAAGCUAAAUACCGGCCAGAGACCGAUAGCGCACAAGUAGAGUGAUCGAAAGAUGAAAAGCACUUUGAAAAGAGGGUUAAAAAGUACGUGAAAUUGUUGAAAGGGAAGCGCCUGUGACCAGACUUGCGCCCCGCGGACCACCCGGCGUUCUCGCCGGUGCACUCUGCGGUGCGCAGGCCAGCAUCGGUUCUCCCAGGGGGACAAAGGCCGCGGGAACGUAGCUCCUUCGGGAGUGUUAUAGCCCGCGGCGGCAUGCCCCUGGGGGGACCGAGGACCGCGCUUCGGCAAGGAUGCUGGCGUAAUGGUCACCAGCGACCCGUCUUGAACCACGG